rnacentral:lncRNA from 10 species
GUAAAAAGCUCAGUAAAUUUGUUGUUUGACAUCUCACUCUGAGUACUGUGUGUUUCAUCUGCCUUCACUCUCACAAUUAUUAUCAACUUGCUGGCUAUAAAAGGCAGGGGCUACAAACUCAGUGAGCCAAAUGCAGUGCUUGCUUCCUAUCUGUGGUCCAUUGCAUAGCAGUGUGCUUGGGUGCUGCGUAAGACAAUUCCCCCCAACGCCUCCAAAAAAUAGGACAUGGUCCACUGCAGGAGUUCAUAAUCUAGGAGUCCAGAGAGUCCAGGCUCAUCAUCCCUUCAGAAGAAAGAAUCUUCAGGCCUCUGCUCUUGUGAGAGUAAUUUCUCUUAACACCGACAGUGCAGCAAUACAACUACCACCACCUUUCAAUUAUUGAGAGGCAAUCAUCUAAAGCAUUUGGCAAGUGAUCCACUUACGGAGCCAAGCUAAGGGAGCUGAAGAGAAGAGGCCGCCGCCCCAACCCAGCUACUCCAUGUGCUACUUUCUCUCGCAACUUUGAGCAAGAAUGUUAGAUCUUUUGCUGGGGGCCUUCGGAAGCCGUGAGGGAGCAUAUCCUGACACCCACAUAGAAGACCUGGUACCUAUGUUUCCACAUCACAAAGCAGGCCAACAAGCACACAAGGCCGCAGACCAAAUUAAGAAUCAUCUGGAUGAGUAAGAACAGUUUGAAAGUGCCAGUGACGCUGGUACAGUCCGUCACAUCCCGGUAAACAAAGGUCCUGCUGAGCGGCUCCGAGGAGGGCAGUUUGCACUGGCAAGAGUCGAGUGUGGUCUCACAGGUAAACUGUGUGAGCUGCGAAUAGUGGUGGGCGGCAAAGGCCACGGCCAGCACACAGACCGUCAGGCCCAGGGCACUCAGCAGAAAGUAUAACAGCUGCAAGAAAGCAGAAGAAAACCUUUCUGGUUACAAAGAACAUUGGAUGAUGAUUUGCAAAGCGAAUUCAUCAAAACUGUUCUUUUUCUUCCCUCCCAGAAAUUUUCUGAUGGAAAGGCUGUCUCUUCUUAGAAACACAACACCCAAGACAUGGAAAUAGCUCCAUGUUUAUUUAUUAGUGGGUAGUUCUUAAACCCUGAUCACAUUUUCACUUGCCAUCCAGAUGUUGGGCCCUUUUCAAGAGUUGUGACAACCAUAUUAGCUGGACUGUGGAAUGUUUUUGUCUAGAUAUUGCCAGCAGUUUAGAUGAAUCCCAAACAAGCUAGCCAUCCCUGGAUGACAUGUUGUGCUUAUUUUGAACUCAAGAACUUCUGAUAUUAAGACUGAAACAAGACUAGGAAGUAAAGAACAGGUUUUUGUAAUGCAAACACUGUGUGGGCCAAAAUUAGCAAUGAUGGGUCAACUAAUAGCAUAAGUUAAUUUUUUUAAAAGACUACAUUCAAUGUAGUGAUUGCCAAACUGUAUCCAUAAACAUGAGAAUCCCCAGUAGGAGGUUGCUGGGAGAAAAUAAAUUAUGGCUCCAGAAGUCAAGUGACUCAACGUCAGCUUCAUCGCCUGUGAAACUUACCCCAAGCCCAACAACGACCAUGUGAUUCCUGAGCCUGAAAAAACUCUAAAUGGUUCCUCAGUCACCAAGGUUUUGAACACUGUUGGCCUCCAGAUUAGCUUUGGGAUUGAAAAAGUCUGGUUAAAGUUCUCGCUCUGCUGCUACAGGGCUGUGGGAACUCUGAACAAUUUAGGGAUUUAGCUUACACCUAAAAUAUUCUGAGCAAAACUUGUGGGUGUUCACUGACAUGGCCACAAUAAAAUCUAUGGAACAAGAAAUAUUUUUGUGAUUGAACUCACCUACUAGAAAUGUUAAUCUUAAUGGUCCACCUGCUGAGACUCUAGAGCUGCUUGACAGGGUUGUCUGGGGAAUACAACCUUACCCUGUCAAAUGCCUUUCAAUGUUUUUCUUCUCCUUCCUUACCCCCGUUUCAUCGUGUACCUGCAAUGGGACUCUAUUUCUGAUAUUAGAAAACCACCCAAUGGAACUGAUAAAAAUGAGUUGGAACUUGUGACCAGCAGCUGGAUGAGAGGAGUGUGAAUCCCCCAAAUCUUAUGGAUAUAGUGUGCUUUCUUUGAUGUUCCUGCCAAAGUGAGGCUGGAAAGCUAGGAAGAUCUGUAAGACGUGUGCCAGCACAAAGUGACUACAAUUCAAAAGUUCCAAAAACCUUGCUUGAAACAAUUGCAAAUAGCUCAUCAUUUUAAACCAGUGAACCCAAGGCUGAGUGUUUCAUCAAUUUACAGAAAACCAAGAAGAGAAAUCUGACAGCUAUCCCAGUGUAUGACUUACCAUGGAGAUCUUCAAAUAGAAUCACUUUGGUUUGGGUCUCAUUUUCAUAUUAUAACACAAAUUUGUGUAUGUGGGUUAAGAUUCAUAUUUGAUAGGAACUGCUGGGAAUUCUUGCAGUUAUAUCCUCAAAAGACAAAAUAAGCAUAACCAACAGAAUUGUGAAGCAAUAAAGUUGAUUAUGGAUGAAAACUGGGCUGAACAGUCAUAGGACAUGACUUGUUCCUUUGACCUAAAAUGUGCUUUUCUUUCCUUAUCUACCCAGUGUAAUGGUACUACUCUUUCAACCAUCUUGAAUUCACUCACACUUAUUCGUCAAAUCCUGCUCAGCUAUUCCCACUACCCACAAAGUGUACCUUUUUCGUAUUCCUUACUUUUUAUACAUUAGCUCAUUUUCCCCCAAACAAUGCAAUAAAGUAAAAAAUAUUACUCUAUUUUAUAGAAACUUGCAGCUCAGAAAGGAUAAGAAACUUGCAAGUUGAUCCAAAAUAAAUUUCUAAAAAGCAUCAAAAGGUUUCAUUUCUGCAUAAUAUUAAGGACUAAAUUAUAGGAAAACUCUCUCCCUAUAAAACACUGUAAAAUGCUGGAUAAAACGUAGCAUCCCUUAUAAAAUGAAAAAACAAUUAGCCCACUAGCACUGGAAGUCAUCAAGAAAAUUGUUCUGUCUCAACAGAUGCAGGGGGGCAGUUUGAGGUUUUUCUACUACUUUCCUAGUCCUGGAACCUAUUAAGAUGAGAAAGUAACAUGAAAGUGAUCCUGAAAAAAUAAACCAAAACCUGGCUAUUUCAAUAAAUAAAUUGUAAGGGGGAGAGAGACAGAGACAGAGAGAGAGAGACACAGAGAGAGAGAAUAGAAAGGAGAGACAAAGGGUAAAUUUUUGAGUAAAGGAAAUGUUAGAAAUAUAUGAGUCAACUGCAGUGUAUAGAUCUUAUUGAGAUCCUGAUUUUGACAAAUCUAGGAGGAACUAUUAAUGAGUUAAUCAUGGAUAUUUAAACAGUGGUUUGAUUCUAUUAAGAAAUUAACUUGUUAGGUGUAUUAUUAGUAUAUUGAUUAUUUUUUAGUCUUCAUCUUUCGACUUACAUAGCAAAAUAUUUAUAAAUAAAAUGAUAUAAAGUCUGGGAUUUAGUGCAAAAUAAUCCACUGUGUAGUGUGUGUAGUGUGUGGGUGUGGAGGAAAUAUAGGAGCAUACAGAUAAGACAAGAUUGAGCAUGAGUUGAUAGUUAUCAAGGCUCGGUGAUGAGAAUAUAGAGGUUCAUUAUACAAUUGUAUCUACUCUUGUGUAUGCUUGAAAUUUUUCAUAAUAAGUAAGUUAAGGAAACAAAGUGGUUCUAGGCCUGUAACAUCACUGGGACAUAUGGCAAGACAAACCCAUCUGGAAGGGUUGUACUCUCAAAUAGGCUAUAUCAAGUUAUCAUACAUAAAGCCUCUUGGAAGAUGAACUCACAAACCAAAAUUAGCAAACACUUGAAGAAUUAAUUAUUAGUGAAGGCUAGCUCUUACAUGCAUGUACACACACACACACACACACACACACACACACACACACACACACGCUCUAAGAAUCAGAGCUAUAAGAAUUCCAAAUAAUGGAAGUAAUGAGCAGAGCCUAUAAAAAGUACAUUCAAAACAAACACAUGAAGGAAGGAACUGAAAACAUAAAGAACAGGACAGUUUUUAAAGCACCAGGGAUAUGUGAAAAUAACAUCAGUAACAACAUCAGUGAGUUCUAGAAUGAAAAAUUAAAAUUGCUGGCAGUAAAAACUCAAAGGACAAGUAAAAGGCAGAUUAAACCUAAAUGAAGAAGGGAAAAGUGAACCAGAAAAUCUGAGAAAAUAACCCAAGAUACAGCACAGAGAGAUAAAGAGAGAUGAAACAUACUAGACAGGAUAAGAAAUAUGGAGGGAGAAUAAGAAGAUUCUAAAUAUACAUCUGACAGCAAUUCCAGGCAAAGGGAACAAACUUAAUUUUAAAAUUGAGUAUAGAACCCUAAACCCCAAAAUGAGAGAAUCCACAUUUUUCCCAAGCAUUCAAGAACUGUUUAUGAAGAUUGGUCACAAAAUAAGUCUAAUCAAAUAUCAAAUAAUUGAUAUGAAAAACACAUGAACUGAGCACAAAGCAACUAAAGUGAACUCAAUAAUCAAAAGACCAGAUAAAAGACAUUAGAGAAGACUCAAAUAAAUGGUGAGAUCAUCUUUGGUCAUGUAUAGAAAGUACAAAUCCCAGGAAAUUACCAAAAGUAUUUUUCUUGGAACUUGAAAAGCCUAUUCUAAAGUGUAUAUGCAAGAGAAAAUGGCUAAGAUUCACUGAGAAAAUUUUGAAGAAGAAUAAAAUGAAGGAGGGUGGGUUGGGGGUGGGCUGCUUAUCCAUCAUCUUUAUAACAAGAUGCAUUAUAGCAUCAUUUUAAUUUAGACAAUGGUAUUGGCAUAGUGAUAGCCAAAUAAAACAAUAGAACUAAGGAAAAUCACAAAGCAAAUCUAAUAUGGAAACUUGACAGAUGAUAAAUGGGUGUAACAGAUCACUAUGAAAGGGACCGAUUAUUUAUUAAACGGUGCUAAAACAAUUAUCAAUCCAUGUGAGAAAAAAUGUAUGGACCCUUCACAUCAUUGCAAAAAGAAACCACUUAUAAUAAAGAUAUGAAUACCCAAAAGCAAACCUUUAACAUUUUUAGAAAAUGGUAUAGAAAAAUAUUUUUAUGGCCUUGGAGUAGGGAAAAAUUUCUUUAAACUACAUCAAAUCCAUAAAAAAAAGAACUGAUAAAUAUAAAUAUAUGAAGAUUAAAUCUUUUUUCAUAACAAAACACCAUAAAUAAAAGAUAUGAUACCAACCAGAAAAAGAUAUUUGUAGUACCUAAAACCAUAAAGAUUAAGUAACAAAAGUAACAAAUCCUAUAAAUAAAUAAGAAACGAACAACCCAUAGAAAAUAUUUUUUGAAUAAAUAAAUGAUAGAACACAAAAUAAAAUGGCCAAUCAACAUAAAAUAUGUUCAAUUCCAGUAGCAACACCAAAAUGCAAAUUAAAACAAGAUACCAUUGCACACAAAUAAGAUAGGUAAAGAACUCUGAUUUACCACUGGUGGAGGUGAGGUGUAAGUUAGUCCAAUUUGGAUUUGUGGUAGUGACUUGGCAAUAGCUAGUAAUUUGACGAUGUCUAUAUCUUAUGACCCAACAAUUUGACUUCUAGGAAUAUGCCUUAACAAGACUUUAUGUGCACAGGGAGUUAUAGACAAGAAUAUCCACUGUAACACCGUAAAUGCAAAAUAAAAAAUCAUUUUUGAAAACAAAUUUUCUUCAACAAGAGAAUGAAUUAACUGUUAUAUAUCCCCCCCCCCCACCACCACCACUUUCUUUUGAGACAGGGUCUUGCUCUGUUGCCCAGGCUGAAGUGCGGUGGUGCGAUCAUGGCUCACCACUGUCUCAACCUCCCAGGUUCAAAUGAUCCUCCCACCUCAGCCUCCUGAGUAGCUGGAACAACAGGCAUCUGCCACCACACCCAGCUAAUUUCUCUACAAAAAGUAUUUUUUGUAGAGACGGGGUUUUGCCAUGUUGCCCAGGCUUGAACUCCUAGGCUCAAGCAAUCCUCCCGCCUUGGCCUCCCAAAGUGCUGGGAUUACAGGUGUGAGCCACUGUACCUGGCCAAUGUUGUAUAUUCCUAACAGUGAAAUUCAGUAUAGCAAACAUGAAUGAAUGAUAUCUGUGUACUAUUAUAAAUAAAUCUCAAAAACGAUGUUGAGCAGAAAUGAUAUGAUACCAUCUGUAUAAAAAUUAAAAUAUGACAUGUUGGUUAUGGAUAUAUACAAAUUUUCAAAGUAUGAAAACAGGCUUAUGCAUAAAAAAUACCAAAUUCAGGAUAGUACAUAUCUCUGGGGAAGAUGGGAGGGGUAGGGGAAUUUGAUUAAGAAAUGAAACAUGGGAGACUUCAAUACAAUGUAAUGUUUCCUUUCUUAAAAAAUAAUAAAAAAGCAAUUAUUACAAAAUACUAAAAUUUAGCAAAGCUAGGAAUGGAUAAGUGGGCAUUUUUUUCUAUGUUAUUAUGCAUUAUUUUCUAUGUUAUUAUGCAAUUGAAAUGUUUAUAAUUUUAAAAAGCAUAGAAUUGCACAGAAUUACUGACAUUUGUUCAAAUUCACAUAGAAAUGAAAAUUUAAAAAUCAUUACCAAAUAUUUUUUGGAAAAUGAUUCUACAUUAGUAGAGCCAGAAUUCUACCCUUACUCCAAAGCUGGAGUCAUUCCUCAAAUUUCAGACCCCCUCUCCUUUCUUUUUCUGAUCUUACCCUGAGGGUUCAUCAUGUUCUUCUCUGCGCUAGCACGGUACAUUGUUUAAGGCACCACCUUGGCAUUUUGUUUUUAAAACUAAAUUGCAGUUAGUUGUACCUGUGUUUCCUCACCCAGAGACUAAGCUCUUGGGGGCACCAUACCUGGUAUAUGAAAAUACAGAGGGAGAGUGGCUAGGGUGUGGCUUCUACUCCUAACUAACUCUUGUGAUGACUUACCAAAAACUAAUCACCAAGUUCUAUAAAUACUUAUUCUUGCAAAAUAAUCAAUUUCCAAAGAAUGUAAGAGAAUCAAAGAUUGUGUUCCAGCCUUUCUCAUGAAUCAACAGGAGGGGCAGAAUUGUUACAAACAGUAUUUGUGGGAAGAAAUAAACAACCUAUAGUUUAUUUGUUUCACUUGGGGAUUUUCAAGCCCUCAGAAGAGGGAAAGGAAUCUUGCUGAUGUGGAUUGAGCCUACUCCGGUGGUAUAGUCAUGGGCUGGAUUUCAUUACUUAGCCAUAAUUAAGUCAGUUCUCAAAUUAGGUCCCAUUCUAGAAAUGACUGCAGAGAUAAUUCUAUAUUAAACUCCUGGGUUCAUAUAUGUUGAAUAGUACAAUAAAUAUAAACAUAUUAAAUAGCACAGUGCAUAGAAAUUAUACAGUAAAUCAAUAUAAAUUGAAUUAUGUAACAUUGGAAUGGGAUUGUAAAUGAGAGAACCAUCUUGUUCAACCUUUAAAAAUAUUAUCAAGUGGCUUUUCUAAUUGAGAGUACUUUAUGAAAAACAGUAUGAGGGAACAUAAAGUAAUAUAUAUUAUAAUAUUACUUCUCCUUUGAAAGUGUUUUGUCCUUUUCAACAUGAGGAGGUCAGUGUCCCCAAGCAGCCUGCAGCCUCUCCUACAUUUCCCCCUCGCCUCCCAUGGCAACACGGGUUAGCCAGACACUGAGCUUUUUGUGAUGUGUGUGUGAGGACAGAGAGAAGGGGAGCAAAGCUUCAGGGAGGUCUUGAGGUGGAAAAAUUUGUGACGCACACGAUUUGGUGACUGAAGAAGAAUUCUUUCUUGAGGGUUCUAUAACACAAUAGUUACGGUCACCCUAUGUGCAUUUAAAAAUUCCUAGUUGGUCUCAAGCCCUUAAUGCACACCGAAGCCCUUUAAGAGGCUUCUCAAACUACUUGUUCAUGGAAAGAUUAUGAGACAAAGCCAACCUGUGUGGGUUUGGUCCUUCUGUUUCAGAACCUGACUACCAAAGAGCCUGGGAGAAGUACAUAAACUUAUUGAACAUGUAACUCAUAAACUAAAAGAUUCAAACUCUGUACACAGAAUUCUGUAUGCGGUCAUGAAGAAAUCCCUUCUCAUUUAUGAUCAUACAUUUGCCUUAGGGAGUCCGAGUUUGCCCUCUUCACUGCCUUGGGUGCCCCACUAUCUUCCUGAGGUAGGCACAGUCCUCCUGCAAGUUUCUCCCUGAGAGAAGAGCACCUCCAACCUCCAACAGAAUUGAUGAGGACUGAAAUGCUGUUGCCCUUGUCUUAGAAAAUGCCUCCUUCAUAGCUUUCCUGGCAUAGCUAAAUGUGAGAUAGGGCUAAGCCUGUGAGAUCAGGCUAAUGGCCUGAUAUGCAUGCCACACCUGAUACUUUAGAAGGAAGCCAGCCAAGGAAGUGUUUUUUCCCCCACUUAGUAAUAAAGCUAAAAUUCUCUCGCUCGUCAAAGUCUAGUUAACACAUUAGCAGCCCCCUCCCCCUUUUCUGGUCUCCUGUCAUUAUCUUCCAUACAAGAGAGAGGGCUUGAUAAUAACAUAUCUUAAAGGGGUUUUUAAUUGCUCCUUACAGUGAAUGCUGAAUCUAACGCUUUAAAAACAACUGAGUAGAAUGCCACUUAAAAGCGCUUCCUCCAGGUUUCUCACCACCUCUCUCAGUACCACGGCACUCCCAGCCAGGGGAGAGUUGCUCAUUUCUGCAAAGAUUAGAAGCAGGUCCAACAGAACUUCUUCAGCAGAAUCUGAGAAUGCUCAUUUGUGAACAAACUGUCUGCUUUCCAACGUCCCGUCACUUACUGGACUUUUGCCAGCCCCAGGAAACACCAUAAUGAAACACUCACAUUUAUGAAAUUCACAAUUAGGGACCGUGGCUCUAGCAACAUUAGCUCAGAGAGCAUCAACUUUAAAUAUGCUCAAAAAUCAAACUGGAGAGCUUACAGUAUCCCAUCGUGGCCAUCCCUUUUCGUUUUGGAACUGAGAUUGGACCAAUUGUUAUGAAAGGCUGCAUGUUUUAGUCUUCCCUGGUCUUUCCCUCUUGGGUGGCUUGGGUUUGUGCAAUACAGUACUUAGUGAAGGAAAAGCAGAGCCCAGCUCAGGACUUCUUAAGUGAGGGAACAGAAUCCAAUGAGAAGCCCUUAAAUGUGUGUCAAAAUGAAGAUCUACCAAAGAGUGAAGGCACCUACUAAAGGCUAUUACCUCAUAAGGCUCAAAGGGCGGGUGGGGGGUGCCCACAGUAUGCAAUCACCACCCCCCACAGGACAGCAGGCUUGGUCAAUGGCUGAACAUAUAAGCAUUCCCCAAUGGUACCACUCAGCCAGCCACCUUUGCAUCAGAAGCCAAAGUAUCCUUGAGCUACAUCUUGACAUCAGGAUACUCCCUGGAGCAUAAAGAAAUGCAGGAAUUUACAGCGUGGAGGUUCCUAAGCCUUAAAGAGUUAAUGCAGCAAAGGAAAUGCCUAAGUUAACCUUAGAAUUGUAUUCACUAGCUAGAUUUACUUGAUUUUAUUUUUACAGAAAUUUGACAAAAGAAGCAAUCUGUAAAUGCAAUGAAAACAGCUUCCUCCAUAUGUCUCACUACUGGCAUGAGCACGGAGCCGCGCCACCCCAUCGUACCUCCGUGUGUCAGAUUACGGGCUCAGAAUACCCCUCGGAAACACUCAGACUUCUAGCUGUUCCAAGAAAGCCGUAGGGCUUUCAAUAAUAAGCUGUAAAACGAGCUUAAGAGUCACUGAGGUUGCUGUGCAAAUGUAUAACCCUCACCGGAAAUGCUAUGGACUGAAUUGUGUCCCCGUAAGUCAUAUGUUGAAGCUGUAACCUCAAAAGUAACUAUAUUUGGAGAUAGGGCUUUUAGGAGGUAAUUAAGGUUAAAUAAGAUCCUAAGCAUGGGGUCCUAAUCCAACAGGACUGGAGGAUUCAUGAGAAGAGGAAGAGAAAGAGAUCUCUUCUUCUCUUCACAUGCAUGAACUGAGAAAAGACCAUGUGAGCACACAGCAAGAAGGCAGCCGCCUGCAAGCCAGGAAGAGAACCCUCCCUAGCCCCUGACCAUGUUGACACCCUGAUCUUGGACUUCCCGUCUCCAGAACUGUGAGAAAAUGAAUGUUUGCUGUUUAAGUCACCCAGUCUACGGUAUUUUGUUAUAGCAGCCUGAGCCGACUAAGACAGAAAGAAAAAUGUAUUUUAGUUAAUGCCAUAUGUGUAGGUGUACACAUAUGAAUUUUAAAAUUAACCAGGGUGAUGGAGUGAGCUGCUUCACUCAGGCAUCUGACAGUUACUCUUGCCAAGUUUUAUCUCAAUACACAGAGAUCUGAGACUGCAUCCAAAGCAUCUGAAAGAGGGUGUGCCUAUGGAAUAGGUUUUUAUAUAGCUUAUGCUGUAAAGCCUGUUCCUAGCAUCUAUUUUUUUAAAAGAAGUUCACUGUAAGCUUAUGAACUCAUCGUGAUAAACCUAGACUUGAACAUUUACAGCAAAUAAUAACUGGAAGGUUAAACUAUGACAUCAUGAGGUCCCAUCCAGCUCUGGAUUUUGAUGGACAUUUUUUGACCAGUACUUCCUUAGUUUGCCAGGAUGGAAGACCUAAAAAUGAACUGCAUUUUGCAGUGAAUUAUACCUAAUUAAAGUUUAAUGACUAGAUUACAUUCCUGUCUGAUAUGGUUUGAUUCUGUGUCCCCACCCAAAUCUCUCUUGAAUUGUAAUCCCCAUGUGUUGAGGGGGAAACCUGGUGGAAGGUGGUUUGAUCAUGGGGGUGGUUCCCCCUAUGCUCUUCUCAUGAGAAGAUGAGAUAGUGAGUUCUCAUGAGAUCUGAUGGCUUAUAAGUGGCAGUUUCCCCAGUGCUCUCUCUCCUGCAGCCCUGUAAGAUAUGAUUUGCUUCUCCUUUGCCUUCUGCCAUGAUUGUAAGUUUCCUGAGGCCUCCUCAGCCAUGUGGAAUUGUCAGUCAAUUAAACCUCCUUUCUUUAUAAAUUAGUCUCACGUAGUAUCUUUAUAGCAGCGUGAGAACAGACUAAUACACUAUCCUACAGUAACAUAGAAACAUAUAUGCUGAACUCUUCAACAUAACCUUAUGUGUUUCCUUUUAAUGUUAUCAUUAACCCUUCAGGCCACAAUACAACCAAGUGGAUCCAGUGAAAGACCAUCCUUAAUAGAAAUGUCUCAGAUACAGCUAAAGGCAAGAGCAAAUCUAGAAAACACCCAUUUUCUCAGACCACACUGAAAGAGGGCAUCAUAUUGGCAAUCUAUCUAUUCAACUGUUAGACCAAACAUUAGAGAAACCUAUGCCAUUGUUUUCUUCGUAAAAGGUUAAGAGUGGUAAUAUCAACAUCUAGCAUUCAGCCACAUCAAUCCUAAUAUGUCCUAUUCUAGUUAGGAGAGUGCAUAUAAGUCAAAUGACCUUCCUGAGUCCUGCCAUUUUAUAACAUGAAAUAAAAAAUCUAAGUAAUGUUAAGUUAAUAUGUUCUGAAUUCUUCUAGAAUCCAGAAGCCAAAAUGGAGUAAUAACACAUUCCUUACUAUUACCUCAUAGUUGUCUUAAAUGUCAUAAAUAAAUUUGUCUGUGUUUGAAUAUACAACUACAGUCAGCCCUCUGUAUCAAUGGGUUCCAUAUCCAUGAAUAUAAUCAACCACGGAUCAAAAACAUUUGGAUAAAAAAAGGAUGGUUGUGUCUGUACUGAACAUGUACAGACCUUUUCAUGUCAUUAUUCCCUCAAUAAUAUAGUGUGUCAACUGUUUACAUAGUAUUUAUAUUGUAUUAGGUAUUAUAAGUAAUCUAGAAAUGAUUUAAAGCAUAUGUAGGAUGUGCAUAAAUUAUAUGCAAAUACUACACCAUUUUAUAGCAGGGACUUGAGUAUCUGUGAAUUUUGGUAUCAGGAGUCCCAGUACCAAUCCCCUGCAGAUACUAAGGGAUGACUGAAUAUAGCUUAAAAAUGGGCAUAUGCAUGUUCAAACAGAAGCUCUGAUAAUGGCAAGUAUGGAAUAAAUAGAUUUCAGUUCAACAUUUAUUAAUUA